GCCUUGGACCGUUUGGGAAGCCACGAUGCUCGAACACCUUGAGGAUGUCCUCCUUAGUGGGAUGGAGAUGGAUCGCACGUUCUUUCCUAAGAGAUGGGCUUAGGUCUUUCCUCUAGUACCAAUCUAUUACAGUAGAUUUUCAACUUUAAUUCAAAGUGCUGGAGCGAGGCAUGGUUCGGAGAUGCAAAUAGUGACUGGACCUUGCAAAACAAGUCCCUAGCCGGAGGUGGUUCUAGUGGAGACCAUCCGAUGCUUAAGUCAGAAAUUUGGAAUAAAUAAAAAAGAGCAUGCAA
rnacentral:lncRNA from 1 species